GAUUUUUUUUUUUUAAGAAUCAUAAACUUGUAAAAAAUAAGUCAUUCGGUUGAUUAACUCCAAAACCCAUGAUCUCCAUUCUUCCUGGAGUUUACAGAUAGAACACAAAAUGCCCCUGAAUUGACCCCAGUGAAAAAAUAGAUGGUUUCUAAACUCCCAAGAGACAUCUGUGGGUGCUGGCCAGAAAUUCAAUUAUAGCCAGAUUUCUGCCACCUUUAACCAAGAUACUUCUAACAGUCUUAUUUGCAGUGUAUGGGCUAGGCUGACUUUAACCUGCAAAUACAUCAUAAUGUUUAAUUGAAAUUAGGAGGAUUUUUGUAAAGAAAAGAGAUACAUAGAAAGUAAUAGGUACUAACGUUACCCAAAUUACUUCUCCAACAAAAUGCUAUCACCAAAAUUAAUAUAUAUGUAUAUACAUAUGUAUACAUAUGUAUAUAGUAUGAAAAUCUCACUAAAGAUUUGGCAAAAUUUUCCUAUUCAAAGACCAAAAAAAAGAAAACAAAAAAAAGCCCUGCAAUUUACGAAACACUUAGGUUUGUCAUACAAUAACCAAGUUUCAAAUUUAUGCAAUUUUAAAAAGGUAUUACAUUAAACCUUUAAAAAUGCAACAGUGAAUAUAUUAAAAAGGUUUAUUAAGCAUAUAUAAGGUACCAUUGGCACACUGAAGCAUUUUUAAUAAUCUUUCAUUUGACAGCAUAAUGGUUAUGUCUUGCUUUUAGCAUCUUGUUUUCAGCCCGAAAGCUCUUCUGUUUUAUAUUGUUGUGUUUCCUUGCUUCUUUGUUUUGUUUGAAGAAGUGAGGGUAAGUGGAACAAUGUGUUCAAAGGGGAAGUUAUUGGACAACAGUUGUUAACAUUACCUACUGGGCCCGGGGUACAAGGGAAACCAUUUGUGGAAGGGACUUGACCUCCUUCCCUUCUGCCUUCUCAAGUCUCACCAUCUUGGUUUAGCAACAGAUUCUUUUGAUCAAACUCAGAUCCUGCUCAUCCAGAUUUUCGAUUCCUGUCUCGUCUGCAGCGCCUACCAGCAAUCCUCGCCUAGAGUUUGCCUGACUGUAUAGUACUUCCCGUCUCAAGUCAUGGGCAGGACCCAUUGAGGCAUUAGCAAUAGCAACUCGAAGCUCAAAGCUAAGAAUACCAGGGAGCUGUUCAGGUGGCCAGAGAAGCCUGAGUACCAAGGAACUAUCAACACAGUGUAAUAAUAUGGUUUGACCAUCAAAGCAAUGACACUGUAGUUUUCUCCCCCUGUUAACAAAAGAAUAAUUUUUUAAAACCUCUAUUAAGUUCUUGAACUUCAAAGGUAAAUAACUAGACUGAUGAGAAAGGUGGUGUCUACCUCACCGAUUUGUCACUGGGCAUCAUCCUAAAUGCACUUUCCACUAAAUUUCUGUGUGCGGCCAAUUAGUGUGUCUGCUUUCAAAACAGUAUCCAAAAAGGAAAAUACUGAUAUUAUCCUUUCCAUUUUCAAUGGUAACAACAUUUCAGCUGGGGGAAAAUUGUUAUUACUCUGGUAGUUUUUAUAUGGUUCUUGGCCAAAAUGUAAUAGCAAUUUAAACAGAACUUCAGCAAAAGAUAUUAGGGGUGAAGAAAAAGGCCAUCUCGAAAUAUUGUACUUUGCUGUACAUCUAGUUAGAAAUAAUUUGAAUUUGGAUUAAGAUUUCUUUUUAAGUUCUUUGCACACAAGUAUCUUUAGGUGGUCAUUUGAAAUGGAUAUUUCUCACUUUCCUGUGAGUUUUUUUUUUAAAAAAAAACAUUAUAAAUUAAGCCAGAUGGUAUAAAGUGAAGUACCUCACAUAAUACCCGACAGGAGAUACUUUUAUUUUUUUUUUGAAAAUAUUCCAAAAGAAAUCAUUCAACUCACAUUUGUGUGCUUAUUACUGAGUCUUCUAAAAUUCUUCUGUGGCUUUCUAAACACUCAAAAAAAAUUUUUAAGAUUUUCAUUUAUUUAUUCAUGAGAGACACAGAGAGAGAGGUAGAGACACAGGCAGAAGGAAAAACAGACUCCAUGCAGGAAGCCCAAUAUGGGACUCAAUCCUACAACCCCGGGAUCACGCCCUGAGCUAAAGGUAGAUGCUCAACCGUUGAGCCACCCAGGCAUCCCUAAACACUCAAAAUUUUAAAGUGUCUAAGUAUAAGUGUAGAUUUUCACUCACUGUUACUUUAAAAUAGAGUAUAUUUUAUUUGCUAAAUUACAUAUAUAUGUAUUCUAUUGUUUACGUAUAUAUGUAUCUCCACCUCAUGUGGCUUUAAAAAAGAGACUGACGUUAUUUGGAGAAAUAACGUGCUAUGACAACUUAUGUAAUGCAAUUUUUUUAACCUAACAGCCUUACAUUUUUAAUGUUUAAUAAAAAAAAUGUCAACUUCUUCUAAAGAAAAAUCAGCUUCCUACAAUUAUAAGACUUUAGCUUUAUGAUCUAUCUGAAGAUUCUCUUACACUCUCCUUAUUACCAAAAAAUUAAACAUACUUAGGCAUGUGACUGUGCAACACGCUCUUCCAUCUUUAUGCUUUCAAUAUUUGUAAACCCAACGAGAUGGAUAUAUAUUUAUAUCCAAGGUAAUUCAUAACCAAAUUUGGCUCCAGAUUUGCCACAAUUGACUAUUUGCCAGAAUAAACUAUAAAAUGAGAAUAAAAGCUUUCAAUUUAAUAAGAAUUCUUUAUUCAGUUUUGUUUUCCUGUUCUAAAGCAUAGAUUAUCAUUAGACUAUGAUAAUCUAUGACUUCUUUGUUUUGCUUUUUUGUUAAUGUUAAAAUCUUACUGACCAAGAAAGGUAACAGAAGAGGGAGUUCAUUUUCUAUUUCAAUUUAUUUAAAAUGCCAUGUCACAAAAAAUUUAGAUACAACCCUUAUUUCCUACAAAGAGCCUCAGAGCUGAGUCAUGACCAAAGACUACAUGUGAUGCAGCACACUGUAGAGUCUUUACACGAAGUGCAACUACUCCAACCAAAUUCUGGGGAGUCAGGCAGUGCAGCUAACUCCAAUAUGAGAGACAGACUGAUUUUGGGAAAAUCUUCCAUUGAAUCUGCAAAGGAAGCUCCAAUAUACUCUAAAAUUUUACCUCCAGAGGAUCCGGUAUCUGGAAAACCGAAAAUAACAUUUUGAUUUUAAUGGAGGGUUUGUUUUGUUCUAUUUUGCCUAGUAUUUUUAUGAAAGCUUUAGGAUAACAUAUUAGUUUGGGGUUUCAAUCAACAUCUGAUGCUUAGAAAAGUAAUUCAUGGUCUAGAGCAUAAUUGCAGGAUCAUUUAGAUCAUACUAUUUAGUUAGCUAUAGCCUACCAAAUACUGUGUUCCUACCUGUUUUCUCAAAAAAAAAAAAAAGGUCCUCGCUUGUUAAAUAGUAUUCAGAUAAAGCAUUAAUACCAUCCAACCAGCUCACGAAAGGUAGUUAGUACCUGUCUCUGCAUAGCUUAUGUAAAAGCUCCACGUUGACCAUCCUUGUCUGCUGCAUUGAAAAGCUGCUGAGUGACUGUCUCAUAUUAUUAUGUCAACACAUCAUGUUACAGUGUCAUGUACAUAGGCCACAGUACAAAAGUGACUAUAAACUACUUACUCAACAUCUAGCCCAAGAAAGGGCUGAGGCAGUGCACUUACGCCUUUAGUUAAAGUGGCUCACAGAAUCAUUUCCAUCAUGCGUUCUUCAACCAUAAAUACUGAGGUAGUGUUUUUUAACUGUCUUUUCAGGCUUGUAAUACAAAUCUCUAUACCAUAUCUACGUAGUCUAAAAUAUGUCAAAUAACUCCGUUUAAAAAGUGUCGCCUACUAGCAAACUAACUAAAGAGAAAUAGCUACCGGGUUUCCUAUUUAGUUGCUUAAAUCAUUUGCCAUUGCCAGUGUAGACCUGCCUUAAAUGGUUUCCUUCACCACUAUUCUGUGUGAAAUGAAAAGAGGAUAUUUUGGUGAAUGCUUACCUGUCUGACAUUAGCCGUUUUCACCAGUCAAAGGAUAUACAUUCCUCAGGAAUGACC
rnacentral:lncRNA from 1 species